UACACACACAAUGCACUACACUCUUCUUUGAACACACGGCAACAACUUCAAAAAAAAAAGAAGAAACAAAAAGAAAGAAAGGGGAAGAAGGAAGGGGGACCGAGGAAGAAAGGAGAGGGGGCAGAAGAGUGAGGCGGCGCGGUGGGUGUCACUGCCACCAUCGCAGCCGCUGCUGAUGGAGGAGAGAGAGGAGAUCUGAGAGAGGAGAGUGUCGCGAGGGAGCCGCCGCGCUGCUCAGGAUCGCCGUCGCGUCGCGUCGCCGUUUGCGCCAGCGCCGAGGAGGACCGCGCGAGAAGGACCGCCGUUUUGCGCCGCCACUGUUGCUCUUGUCGCCGCCGGACCUGUUGCCGUCGCCACCAACUUCCACCACCGUCGAGGUUGUCGCGAAUGGGAGAGAAUGAAGCUGCCCAUGUCGCAGCCGUGAGGAGCCGCAAGUCCCGUCGCCGUCAUCAUCACAAAUGGUGUCGCCGUUGUGGUCGAACCCAGCCGCCACCGUCGCAAGCUCCGUCGCCACCGUUGGAAGUGGGUUGCCGAGCCGGUGUCUUCGGAAAAUGCCGUUGCCGUAGCUGAGGUCCAUUGCCGUUGCCGUCGCUGAGCUUCUGGCCGCUGGGAACGGUGCUGUGGCCGCUAGAACCUUGGUUUGAGUCACUGCCGUUAGUCGCUGAUAGAGGUUGGGUAUUGACGCUAGUGUUGCCGCGGGGCUGCUGAAGCUGCUGCUAGUUCUGAUUUUGCUAUCUUGGUACAAAUGGUUGUAAUUGCUUUUAAUUCCUAUCCAAUUUGAAUCUUCCAUUUUGCUGCAAUCAUGGCCACUGCCGUUCUAGUUGCGUGAGAGUCGUAGCUGCUGCAGAAUAAGGUGAAAAGAGGGUUUAUCGCAUUAAAAUCGCUGCGGGUUUGAUUCUUUGAGUUUUACCUUUUCAGGAACCGGAUGAAGAAGCAUUAAGAAGAGUUAUACUGCGUUUGGUUUAUAUGCUGUUGUAUUAAUUAGAUUAUUUUCUUCCCUCGUCUUUGUUAUUACAAGUUUAUAAGAGGGAUAGGAAUUGUAUGUUUUAUAUGUAUAAUAUAUUAAGUUAUUACGUAAGGAGUCUUGUAUGUGAAUCUAUGCUUGCUUGUGUUUUCCUUAAGAUAAAGUAUUAUUUCUGGUUUUUCAAAGAAAUUAGCGAUAUAGUGUCGAGUCACAGGCUCCUACUUUAAUACUUAGUAUGUAAAAUAGUCGUAAUACUUCUUGCUAACUGAGUAGUGCAGCCGGAAGCGUGACUUCUGAUAGUGAGGGUGUUACAAUAUCCAAUCCGUAUUAACUGUCAUUGUUUAUCAGUUACGUUAUGACAAAUCUGAUUAUUAAAAAAAAUUAAAAUUAGCUUAAAUAUACACAAUAUUAUUCUGUGCCUUUUAUUUUUAUUUUAUUA